rnacentral:rRNA from 1 species
UACGUAGGGACCGAGCGUUGUCCGGAUUCAUUGGGCGUAAAGAGCUCGUAGGCGGCCACUCAAGUCGAAUGUGAAACCUCGAGGCUUAACCUCGAGCCUGCAUUCGAUACUGGGCGGCUAGAGUCUGGUAGGGGGAUCUGGAAUUCCUGGUGUAGCGGUGGAAUGCGCAGAUAUCAGGAGGAACACCGGUGGCGAAGGCAGCUCGCUGGGACGGUACUGACGCUGAGACGCGAGAGCGUGGGGAGCGAACAGG